CCCUACGGGGCGCAGCAGGCGCGAAAACUUUACAAUGCGGGCAACCGUGAUAAGGAAACCCCGAGUGCCAGCACAGGCUGGCUGUCCACCAGUGUAAACAACUGGUGAAGAGAGGGCCGGGCAAGACCGGUGCCAGCCGCCGCGGUAACACCGGCGGCUCGAGUGGUAACCGUUAUUAUUGGGUCUAAAGGGUCUGUAGCCGGCCGGAUAAGUCUCUUGGGAAAUCCAGCAGCUCAACUGUUGGGCUUUCAGGAGAUACUGCCUGGCUCGAGGCCGGGAGAGGUGAGAGGUACUUCAGGGGUGGGGGUGAAAUCUUGUAAUCC
rnacentral:rRNA from 1 species